UGUCGGUGGUAUUGGUAUCGGUAUAUUAGUUUGGUGGUGGUAGUGGUGGUGUUGUUAUUAUUGUUGUUAUUUGUUAUUAUUUGUUGUUCGUUAUUUGUUGUUGUUAUUGUUGGUUGUCGUCGUCGUUGUUGUCGUUGUUGAUGUUGAUCGCGGAUGGUGGAUGGUGGUGUACCAUAUCUCAUCACCGUUGAUCGUUCGACCUAGGUGCACUAGCCUCGCUCGUGAUGAAAAAAGGUGUUGAGAGCUUGUGAAAUCACUGUGUGCUACGCGCGUGUCCCGAACCUCGUCGUCCUAGAAGUAUAUCUCUAUCCAGUCUGAGGUGAAAUAACGAGGAAGGAAGAGACGAAGAAAGUUUUCCAAGAGAGAAAAAUAGAGAGACAGAGUGCGAGAGAAAGAGUGAGAACGAGCAAGGGAGAGGAAACAAGAGAGGGGUCGACGGAGGAUAAAGGAUGCCAGUCCGUAAGCAAGGUGGUGAGUCCGAGUACUUUACAACCCCAUACGAGACAGAAAGCUUUCUAAUGGGAUUCACACAACGCGGUACGAGAAAGAGCGAAGCUUUUCAACCGGAAGAGGAGAUCGAUUCCAUUGGAAGGACCUCGAUGAGCACCGUUAACUCGAAAGUCCACGAGUCGAGUCUACCUGUUGCUUGUAUCUCGCUAGAGACAUAACCCGACCACGGGAGAAUCCCUUCGUUUAAGUAUUAUCUCUCUACGUUCUCGUCGUGAAAUACUCCUCGUGGAUUUCUAAAGUUACCAGUAUACAUACAUACACGCGAACGAAUGUACACAUUUAAGUAAACGACCUUUUUCAAUUCUUUACGCGAAUGACGAACGAAUGUAGAGAAAAACGUAUGUAAUGUUUGUUUGUCUGUCUAUCUGUCUGUCUGUCUGUCUGUCUGUCUG